GUCUGUAUGAGAGUUAUAUAAAGUCUGGCCUGCCCAUUGGGAACUAAAAGGCCGCGGUAUUGUGACCGUGCGAAGGUAGCAUAAUCAUUAGUCUUUUAAUUGGAGGCUGGAAUGAAUGGCUGGACGAGAAGUAAGCUGUCUUUAUCUCAGAAGUUGAAUUUAACUUUUAAGUGAAAAGGCUUAAAUGAAUUAGAGGGACGAUAAGACCCUAUAAAGUUUAAACACUGAGUUAGUUAAGAGUGAUUUAGAGUAGUAAGGUUUAUUAUUAGUUAGGUGUUUGGUUGGGGCGACUAGAAUAUAAGUUAUAUAACUGUUUUUUAUUUGAAUCAGAGAUAUCUGUUCACAUGAUCCCUUUUUAGGAUUAAAGAGUAAAUUACUUUAGGGAUAACAGCGUAAUUUUUUUUGAGAGUUCUUAUCGACAAAAGAGUUUGCGACCUCGAUGUUGAAUUAAAAUUUCUUUGUGGCGUAGCAGUUACAAAAGAAGGUCUGUUCGACCUUUAAAUUUUUACAUGAUUUGAGUUCCUACCGGCGUGA
rnacentral:rRNA from 1 species